GUACACUCCUGCGGGAGGCAGCAGUGGGGAAUUUUGGACAAUGGGCGAAAGCCUGAUCCAGCAAUGCCGCGUGAGUGAAGAAGGCCUUCGGGUUGUAAAGCUCUUUUGUCAGGGAAGAAACGGUGAAAGCUAAUAUCUUUUGCUAAUGACGGUACCUGAAGAAUAAGCACCGGCUAACUACGUGCCAGCAGCCGCGGUAAUACGUAGGGUGCAAGCGUUAAUCGGAAUUACUGGGCGUAAAGCGUGCGCAGGCGGUUUUGUAAGUCUGAUGUGAAAUCCCCGGGCUCAACCUGGGAAUUGCAUUGGAGACUGCAAGGCUAGAAUCUGGCAGAGGGGGGUAGAAUUCCACGUGUAGCAGUGAAAUGCGUAGAUAUGUGGAGGAACACCGAUGGCGAAGGCAGCCCCCUGGGUCAAGAUUGACGCUCAUGCACGAAAGCGUGGGGAGCAAACAGGAUUAGAUGCCCUUGUAGUCCCAU
rnacentral:rRNA from 1 species